GCACUACUGGGUAUUGGAUGCUGAACAUCUGCAUAGUGAUAUCUGGUAGUGACCUGCAGCCUGAAGGCUACCAGAGACGUACGCAUCUCAGCCACCACAAGGAGUUUCUCUUCAUUGUGCACCAGGAAUGUCUGAUGGCCAUUGCAUACUUUCCUCUCCCACAGUCUCAAGAGUUGAUCUGGUUAUAAACAAAUCAUCACAUCUGAACCCUGAAGUCAGCUGAUCCCACAAGACACCCAGGUGAUUUUUUGUUGGUUUGUUUGUUUCGUUAU